rnacentral:rRNA from 2 species
UCAGAACGAACGCUGGCGGCAGGCCUAACACAUGCAAGUCGAGCGCACCUUCGGGUGAGCGGCGGACGGGUUAGUAACGCGUGGGAAUAUACCCUUCUCUACGGAAUAGCCUCGGGAAACUGAGAGUAAUACCGUAUACGCCCUUCGGGGGAAAGAUUUAUCGGAGAUGGAUUAGCCCGCGUUGGAUUAGGUAGUUGGUGGGGUAAUGGCUCACCAAGCCGACGAUCCAUAGCUGGUUUGAGAGGAUGAUCAGCAACACUGGGACUGAGACACGGCCCAGACUCCUACGGGAGGCAGCAGUGGGGAAUCUUAGACAAUGGGGGAAACCCUGAUCUAGCCAUGCCGCGUGAGUGACGAAGGCCUUAGGGUCGUAAAGCUCUUUCGCCAGGGAAGAUAAUGACGGUACCUGGUAAAGAAACCCCGGCUAACUCCGUGCCAGCAGCCGCGGUAAUACGGAGGGGGUUAGCGUUGUUCGGAAUUACUGGGCGUAAAGCGCACGUAGGCGGACUUUUAAGUUAGAGGUGAAAUCCCAGGGCUCAACCCUGGAACUGCCUUUAAUACUGGGAGUCUUGAGUUCGAGAGAGGUGAGUGGAAUUCCGAGUGUAGAGGUGAAAUUCGUAGAUWUUCGGAGGAACACCAGUGGCGAAGGCGGCUCACUGGCUCGAUACUGACGCUGAGGUGCGAAAGCGGGGGGAGCAAACAGGAUUAGAUACCCUGGUAGUCCACSCCGUAAACGAUGAAUGCCAGACGUCGGAUAGCAUGCUAUUCGGUGUCACACCUAACGGAUUAAGCAUUCCGCCUGGGGAGUACGGUCGCAAGAUUAAAACUCAAAGGAAUUGACGGGGGCCCGCACAAGCGGUGGAGCAUGUGGUUUAAUUCGACGCAACGCGCAGAACCUUACCAACCCUUGACAUACUUAUGCGGUUCCAGAGAUGGAUCCUUCAGUUCGCUGGAUGAGAUACAGGUGCUGCAUGGCUGUCGUCAGCUCGUGUCGUGAGAUGUUCGGUUAAGUCCGGCAACGAGCGCAACCCACAUCCUUAGUUGCCAGCAGUUACUGGGCACUCUAGGGAAACUGCCCGUGAUAAGCGGGAGGAAGAUGUGGAUGACGUCAAGUCCUCAUGGCCCUUACGGGUUGGGCUACACACGUGCUACAAUGGUAGUGACAAUGGGUAAUCCCAAAAAACUAUCUCAGUUCGGAUUGUCGUCUGCAACUCGACGGCAUGAAGUCGGAAUCGCUAGUAAUCGCAGAACAGAUGCUGCGGUGAAUACGUUCCCGGGCCUUGUACACACCGCCCGUCACACCAUGGGAGUUGGUUCUACCCGAAGGUGGUGCGCCAACCUUCGGGGGGCAGCCAACCACGGUAGGAUCAGCGACUGGGGUG